rnacentral:rRNA from 1 species
UACGGAGGGGGCUAGCGUUGUCCGAAGUUACUGGGCGUAAAGCGCGCGUAGGCGGGUUGGUAAGUCCGCUGUGAAAGCCCGGAGCUUAACUCCGGAGGGUCGGUGGAUACUGCCAGUCUUGAAGGUGCUAGGGGGAGAUGGAAUUACCGGUGUAGCGGUGAAAUGCGUAGAUAUCGGUAGGAACACCAGUGGCGAAGGCGGUUAGCUGGCCUUUAACUGACACUGAGGCGCGAAGGCUAGGGGAGCGAACAGG